GAUUUAUGAAGAGGUGACCCGAAUUUAAAGACAGUGUUGGAUGCAAACCGAUUUGCCAGCAAUUGCGUCACCAUCAAGUGAAAUACGUACAGAUGGGAUUCGCGUCUGAAAAACCAAGGCAAGAGGCCGUGGAAGGGACGGAGGUGGAACAGGACUGGACCAGAACAGGACAAGUGGUAGUUGCUGAGUACUGGGCAAAUGGAGCAGGAGUCAAGACCUCUGCAGCAGGUUGUGGAGUUUUACAGAACACGCCAAGUAGAGGAAUCCAUGCCUGCACCUGUAACGGGGAUCCUUCAGAAGGGAAGGCUGAGAAGAGCAAGGACGGACAAGCCAGUGUUCUUGUGGUGGCUGAACACACACUUCAGCUCCUCUCACCUUAUGGCCAAGCUGCUUCAUUGUCUGAAACACAAACACAGCAUCUGUCAGAGCCAAGGGGGCACCUGGGAGCCGGGUUUCCAGAACCCCUAGCCUGGGUGUUUCAUACUGACCACACCCCAAGGAACCUGUAUAGAGCUGCCCGCUUACACACAUGGACCAUGACCACUGUUCUUCAGGAAUACGGACUCUUGCACACCUGGCAUGGUUUUGUGAGUGGAGGCAUCUCUGCACAGAAAUCUUACUGUUAUGCCUGUCCGACCCUGGUCUCCUCUCUCCAGUCUCCUGUGCCCACAUUCCAGGCUGUUCUAGGCACUCCUUUCUGGGAUGCCUGGGAGCAUCUUGAGACCUCACUGGAUGCAGGCCUGCUGAGAUGCUCUGGCCGUGUGGGUGGUCUGCUUGGCCUCGGGAUGGGCCCUCCCCACAGACUGAGCAGGCAUUGCAGGCAUGGUGAGGUCUGCUGGUGGCUGCCACCAGUCAUGCUUUUAGUAUUUUUUUUUUUCAACAAUACAUUUUAAAAAUGUUUGCAUAACUCUAGGUUCACAAAAAAAAUUGAGCAGAAAGUAUAGAGGUUCCACAUGCUCCUUUCCCAAUCGCCCCGUCUUCUAGUUUUCUCUAUUAUUUAUAUCUUGUGGCACUUUUGUUACAAGUGAUGAGCCAAUAUUAAUAGGUUAUUAUCCACUGAAGCCCACAGCUUACCUCAGGGUUGGCUCUUGGGUCUGCACAUUCAGUGGGUCUGGACAAACAUGAACACAUGUAUCCCAGCCAGCCAUGGUGGCUCACACCUAUAGUCUCAGCACUUUGGGAGGCUGAGGCAGGCAGAUCACCUGAGGUCAGGAGUUUGAGACCAGCCUGCCCAACAUGGUGAAACCCCCAUCUCUACUAGAAAUACCAAAAAAUGAGCCAGGCAUGGUGGUGCAUGACUGCCAUCCCAGUUACCCUGGAGGCUGAGGCAUCGGGAGGUGGAGAUUGCAGUGAGCUGAGAUGGCGCUAUUACACUCCAGUCUGGGUGACAGAGUAAGACUCUGUCUCCAGAAAAGAAAAAAAGACAUGUGUCCCCAUCAGAGUAUCAUACAGAGUAGUUUCGCCACCCUGAAAACACUCUGUGGUCUUCCUAUUCACCCCUCCCCUCAGCCCCAGAGACCACUGAUCUUUUGACCAUCUCCGUGGUUUUGCCUUUUCCGGAAUAUCAUGUGGUCGGAAUCAUGCACCAUGUAGCCUCUGCAGAUGGGCUUCUUUCACUGAGCAACACGUGCUGAUGGUUCCUCCGUGUCUUUUCAAGGCUUGAUGCCAAACUGCCUUCCAAAGUGGCUGCAGCGUUUUGCAUUCCCACCAUCAGUGAAUGAGAGUUCCAGUUGCUCCCCAUCCUCACCAGCAUUUGGUGUCAUCAUUGUUUUGGAUUUUAGCCAUUUCAUAGGUGUGCAGAUGUAUCUCCUUAUUUUAAUCUAAUAAACAUCUUAUUGAAGAAGAAUGCACAAGCAGAAAUGUUCACAGAUGAAAAGGAAUAGCUUUUUCAGCAGCUACCCACUGGAUACAGCCCUGUGUCCAGCACCCAGGCCAAGAAACAGACACUAGCAGGGUCCAGUGACCCCCUCAGGACCCAUAUAGAACCACUUCCAAUAAUUCAUUCUUGUCUUAGGUAAUUUGCCUCAGGAAAGGAGAGAGAGAGAGAGAGAUCAAAAGACAGAGGGUCUCACAGAAUGAAUGAAGAAACUAAGGAAUAACAAAGCAGAAAUGUCAGCUCUUUAUGGUUGCAUUUAUUACAAAUAAUUCUGGAAACAUGUUAUUUACACAGAAAUAAAAACAGAGAUGUGUUGAUUCCGUUUGAUGACAAUGGGGCCCCCUGAGGCAAUGGAUUCAUUUAUUUGUAUGAAGGCUAAUCUGAUAAGAAUGAUUCCCCGGAGCCAUGCGCAAGAUAAGGAUUCGGAGUUGCUGGUGCUCUUUUGGCAUCUGGCCAGGACCUCCCGGCCAGUGUCACUGGAUGCACCAGCCGUCUAGCCCAACACCCAGCCUGCCAUGGGAUGGCCUCAUCUUGGCCCCUCGUCUUCAGCUGUUCUUUGGGUACUUGCUGGCAUUCUGAAGGGGACAGUCUGAAUCUAGGGAGAGGAGGGGUCUUAACAUCUGGCUGAGGAUUAUGUCAACCAUGGGGGCAGGAGGACAUGACAAGUCAUCCAGUCCUGAGCCAAGCUGAGAAGUGUCUCAGCAAGGCCAAGGUGACGGGUGAAUUUCUGCAGGUGCAAAUUUUCAAGGAGCCUAGAAUCAGGUUUUUACUAGUUUAUAAAGUCAGAAGUCUAGGCCAGGCAUGGUGGCUGAUGCCUAUAAUCCCAGCACUUUGGGAAGCCGAGCCUGGUGGAUCACUUGGGGUCAGGAGUUUGAGACCAGCCUGGCCAACAGGGUGAAACUCCUUUUCUACUAAAAACACAAAAAUUAGCCAGGCGUAGUGGCAGGUGCCUGCAAUCCCGGCUACUGAGGAGGCUGGCCGUGACCUGCUGUGUAGGUUUUGAUUAUCCUCAGCUGGAAACAAUGGCAACCCCACAUCACAGUAGCUUAAAGAAGGUAGGUUUUGUGUUUUUCUCUUUCACGCUAAAGUCUGGAGGAAGGCAGGCCAGGGUAGAGAGGUGCAUCUCCCUCAAGCCAUCCUGAGAUGAGGCUCCUUCUGCCUGUGGCUCUCCCACGUGGGGCCUCUGUCCCCAGGAACCUUCACAAGAUUGGCCCCUUCAGCUUCAGCCCUCACAUCUGCCAUUUCAGCCAGCACGAGAGAGGAGGACUGAGAGGAGGAAACCCAGGGGUUUGGGCCCACGGCACUUCUGUUUUUGAAGGAAGGGUCCCCCACACCGUGUGUAGUCUUGUUGGCCAGGGUGCAAUCACACAGCCACAGCUAGCUGCAAGAGAGGCAGGAAGUGCAGUUUCAUGCCUGGGUGGCCACAUCCCUGACCAAACACGGGUGUUUAUUACUGUGGCGUGACAGCAGACAGGGCGGGAAGCCACGGUCCUCGCCACGCCAUCCAUGCACUCCUAGGGUGCAGCUCAGCGCCAGAAUUGUUGAGGUUCUCGGUAAACAAGCAAAGCUCAAAUGGGCGAAUGAGUAAAUGAAUGAAUGGCCAGGUGGAGCCGUUCAGACACGGGGCUUCUUUCUGGAGGGGGUCUCAUGGGACUAGUCUCUGUGAAGCAGCCGCAGAGAGCCCUGCUCUGACUGGAGUGUGUGAGGAGGGCUUUGCCUGUUUUGGUUGAACAGAAGCCCCGGGGUUGGAGGCAUGAGGUGGCCUCCAGGGAGGGAUUAUUCCUCCCCGCGUCCUUGCCUCUCCCAUCUGAGCAUCCAGCCCCCGCCUCUGACUUCUGCAGCCCCGGCCCUUCCCAGAGUGUCAGCAGGUAAGCCCGUCCUUGGUCUGCAUUUCAUUUAUCCCGAGUCGGCGGGACCCUGCUUUGCAGACAGCUAUGAAGCAGGAUCCUCUUUUACAAUCCAAUUAGCAGCAGACCCCCCAGGUAAUGGGGAGGCUGGAGGGCUUUGCAGGGGAGGUCAAGAUGCUUGGUAUCUGGAGAGAAGGAAAGAAGGAAAGAGACAAGGGGAGAAGGGCGGGGAGGGUGACUGGAUGUCCUUGCAGGGCCAGAGGAGGGAUGCUCUUGAACUUGGCCAGACCAAGAAUGAAAGAGGCAGGAAGGGCGGGAGCCACCCACACACUUCCCCAUGUGGCAUCGCAGCUGCGACUCCUUCAGCUCUUCUCAGGGCCUCAACACGCUAAGGACUGGUGUUCCUCUUCCCCUGGCAAAAAAAUGGGGAGGCGUCUUUGUCUCCACCCCCAGCAGGGGUAGCAGGGAGGGUAAUCUGAGUGCCGAAAGGGACUCUGAAGCUCUCAUGGCGAAACUCCUCUUUUGACGGAAGAGGAAACUGAGGUACACAGCGAGAUCCCAGAAGACUUCGGAUUAGAUGCACAACCUCUUAAUUUCCUAGUCACCGAUGGAAAUUGCGAGGUCCCCCCAGAAGGGUCUGUUUUGAAGAACGUGUCAUCUUCCCUCCAUGACAUUCGGACCACGAGCGAAGCGCAGUGUUGGCUGUCGGGAUUCCACCCGCGCCAUCGGGAGGCUCUGCGUGCCUUGCUUUAUUAUCUCCUCCCCCGUGUUUAUAUCCUCACAGGGUAUCCUCUGAGCAACCACUCAUUCCCCCUCGAGAUGAGGAAACUGAAGUACCAAUGAGUUGAUAAGUAACUUUCUUGAAAAAAACCCCUUCCGACCCUGGGACCUCCCACCCUGGUCUCCUCUGGAGGCUGCUGCAGCUCCCCGGAGGCACUGGCCUCCUACGUCGUGGUGUUUUUCAUAGCUUUUGCACUGCAGGCGGCUCUUCCUCUGCUGACGACCGGCAUUAAAGGCACCAGGAAGGCAUCGCCAAAAAAAUAAGCUCCUUUGAGUCUCAAAGAACUGAGUGACCUGCCUCCCUCAAAAUCAUAGAGAAGGCUGGACUGAGGGAGGGUAGUCAGCCUGGCUUCCAGCCAAGAAGGGGGACACUGACUGCAGAUACUCUGAGCUUCAUUUUUUUUUUUUUUUUUAAGAUAGAGUCUCCUUCUGGCAUCCAGGCUGGAAUGCAGUGGCAUGAUCUUGGCUCACUGCAGCCUCUGCCUCCCAGGUUCAAGUAAUUCUCCUGCCUCAGCCUCUCAAGUAGCUGGGAUUACAGGUGCCCACAUCCAUACCUGGCU
ensembl:lncRNA